ACACCCGUUCCCAUACCGAACACGAUGGUUAAGCUUCAAAGCGCCGAUGGUACUGCACUGGAGACGGUGUGGAAGAGUAGGUCGUCGCCGGGU
rnacentral:rRNA from 1 species